UGUGCUCUCCCAAUGUGAUACUAUGUUGUUUGUCCAUGAGGAAGGAGCCACUAACUCUCCUUGGUUUAGAGCCUACUUGGAGCUUUCAAGUGGUUCAGGAUUGAAAUAAUUUAUUCAGUCUGAUCCAUGGUAAUAACCCAACCCUGAGUAUUUGCACAUGGGAAAUAAGGGUAAAACGAAAAGCUUAUUAAAUGACUAAUGUAUAUCCACAAGGCGGACAGCAGAGUGUGUCUGUUGUGGAACAUUUGACCUCUUUUUCAGACCACAACACUUGGAAUGGCCAUCUGUCACCAAUGCGUGCUGUGUGCUGAAUGGAAGAGAAAUGGGCAUUUGCACUGCAAACUCCUUUGAAAGUGAUGGGAUGCAUUCUCCUGCCUUCUGAAUCCCCGAAAAAAUGAUUCCUAACGACCCUUUAUAGAAGUUCUAAACCAGUGCUCCAUGUGGAUCUUGCUUGUAAGUGGAUCCUGAUGACCGACACAGCGCUGCCUUUCUCUUCCCAAGACCUGUGUCUCUGCUGGUCCCUGUGAAGGAAGAAGAAAAUUUCCUCUAGCCAAGAUUCUUCUAGCUGGACUAAGAAUUGUCUUUACAUUAAACAGAUUAACAGGAAAUAACUCCGAAGUUUUAUUAUGCAUGCGUGGUGGCCCAAUAUUGAAACUGGGGACUAAAGAAAUGACCAAGGCAGGCAGUUUUCAUACUGUAUAGAUGAAAAGACAAUAAAUCUGUGAGGAAUUGAAAGGACAAAAAAACCUUAACUUUGGGAGCUUCAAUUAGUAAGGAAUUCUAAGUGGAAUUUGGGUUGAGGUAGUAAAUUAGUAAAAAGUAAAAAGGUUUGUUUAUAAAGCUUUCUCUCCUUUAAGGUCCCUAACUCUGGUGAUGAGGAUUCCUUUUUAUUAGCACAAAGAGGGGACUUUUAGUACAGGAGAUUUAUUUCUUGCAUUCACAGGAACAGAGGAGGGUCCGAGAGUCCUCGAACAGGAUGUCUCUUAAGUAACUUUUAUUUAAAAUAAUAUUGUCAAAGUGGUACAUUUUAGGUGCCCUGCCCUUGGCUUUACAUCCUUCUGCUACGAAUGCACAUCCACCAGCUCUUUACAUUGUUGGCUUAUGACCUAUUCUCUGGUGUCAGCUCAAGAUCUCAGGUCUUUAAAGAGGACUUUCUUGAUCACCCUGCUAUAUCUCAGCCACCUUCACACCUCCCACCAUACUUCGUAUCUAUCUUGCCUUAUUUAUGAUCUGUCUCCUCAACGAGUUAUAAGAUCUGUGAUAUUUAUGAUCGCUUGUCUAUAUUGUUUAUCACUGCAUCCCCACUGCUAGGAACAGUCCCCGGCACAAAACGGGAUCUAAAAUGAUGUGUUCAAUGAAUAAACAAAUGCUUAAUUUUUUGUGCUUUUGAAAGGUAAGAAAUAGAUUGAAUUCUAGAACAUUAGAGAUAGCUGGUAGGGUGUAGGGAAAAUCUUAUUUUGUUGUUUGGAUGUCAUUUUUUUCUUUUAUUAACAUACUGGUGCCAAAAAGAAUACAUUUAAGACUCUUGUGGUUAAGGUGUAGAUUAUCUUAGCACUGCAUACCUUCAUCAUAUAAGAUCAUGAAGGCACAGACAAUAUGGGAAGCUCUCGCAGUCCAAAAUUCAUAUAGUCCAAGCAUCUGUCUUUUCCACAUCUGAAAUCAGUUUUAAAGAGGUAGAGUAACCAUAAGGCAUAAAGUGAGUUAAAGUAAGGAUGGUGAAUUUAAAAUCCAGAUCUCUGGGCUCUCAAGCAUGUGUUAAUUAUGUAUAACGUUGACGUUAGUGUGUUCAUGUAUCUAUGUAUAUUCAGAGACAUGUAAUAAUAAACUAUGUUGGUGGGUAACUAUUACUAGAUUUUGUGAGGCAAAUUUAUGUCAAUUUUGAUAAAAUACCCAAUUGAAGUGAAUGUAGAAAGUUUUAAAAAACUCUUCUUCAUACUGGAAUUUUGCCAUUUGAUUGUUGCUUAAGAAGAGCAUAUGUUUAGUUUACUUAAGCAAAUUUUUAUUGCAGGGAUAUUUUUGCAGUAAUAGUGUUUGUUAAAAUAUAUUUGACUGGUAUUGUUUUAUUCUAUUAAACUGAUGAAGUCAGGUAAAUUUACUCUAUUGAUUCUAGGAAAAAAUCUAAGUUUUCACUUAAAAGCUUUUCCCAACUUAAA